GGUCGAAAUCUCUGCCCCUCAGAGUCCUGGGGAGGAUGGAUGGAACAGGAGGAGCAUCAUGAGAAGGCUUCCUGUAAACUACGGAGGGUGAGGGGACGGAGCGUGAGGGAACGUCGUGAGAUGGUGCUCGUGGAAGCCAGCAGAGGGUGUAGGGUCUCCUGGAGCCACAUCUCUGGAGUUACAUGAAGUUGUGGACCUCUCAACAUGGGUUCUGGGAACUGAACCCAGGUCCUCUGGAAGGACAUCGAGUGCUCUUAACCACUGAGCCAUCUCUGCAGCCUAACCCCAUCCCUUGGAGGCUGAAGCAAAGCAAGUUCAAUGACCGUGUAAGAGGGCUUGUUUUGUCUACAUACAGUCGUUUGGGGGGAUCAUGCAGCGUGGGUUGCAUGGUG
rnacentral:lncRNA from 1 species